CUCAGGUGCUCGUCAGCAGCCCCCUCCCCACCACGCCUGCUCCUUCCCGCUCCCCCCCCCAGCCCCCCAGCCUCCUGCUGGUCCCUGCUCAGGCUGUUUCCACAGCGCCCUUGGCCCUCCCCCCCACGCCUGCUCCUUCCCGCUCCCCCCCAGCCCCCCAGCCUCCUGCUGGUCCCUGCUCAGGCUGUUCCCACAGCGCCCUUGGCCCUCCCCCCCACGCCUGCUCCUUCCCGCUCCCCCCCAGCCCCCCAGCCUCCUGCUGGUCCCUGCUCAGGCUGUCCCCCCAGCGCCCUUGGCCCUCGGCCGCUUCCCUGAACCUCCCCCCGCUCCCGCCUUGGCCGUGUGCGCCGCCCUGAGGACUUGGCUUCCUGCGGCUCGGGUCAGCCAGCCUCCUCCUCGAAGCUCCUUCCAGCCGCACCUCCUCUCCCAGACCCCCGCUCUGAGGAGCCGCACGCCCCGGCCCGCUCGGCCCCAGGCCGCAGCCCCAGCCCGUGUCUGCCCGGCCCCCGCCGCCUGUCCAGCUUUCCCUCCCGCCUCGUGGGGACAUCUCCAGCCGCACACCUCCUGCCACGGGCUCCUGUGGCCCUCGGUCGGCAUCAUCAGCACGCGCGCCGCCCACUGCCAGCCCGCCCGCGACGCUCUCGCCCCUCGUUUUGCGGCGGCUCUCCCAGAAGGCCCUUCCUCCGGUCAGACAUAAGAUCUACGUGGAUUUGUGGGAAUCGGGGUACAAUCACCGGUCAGCCUCCAGGGACAACACACUUUCAAAGGGCCUCUUCAGGCAAGGACAAGGAGAAGGACAGUCAGAAGCUCUUAGAGGGACGACCAGGGCUGCGGGCGCUACUGGAACAGAGAGGGACCCCUGGAGCAUAGAGCCAGGCCAGCCAAGGACUUCCCAGCUCACAGUGUCCGUCCCGGGGCUUUGGAAUUCCUGAGCGGGGGACGGCUGUCUCCCGUCCUUCCUCUGAACGAGAGGUCUUGUUAUCACUCUCAGACCAACCACUGGAUACUGGACUGGUGGCAGGUGACAAACCACGGGCCCCCUCUGGCCACAGGUCCAGCAGGGCGUAGGCACCUGCAGAGGGGAGACACGCUCACGCCUGGCAUCGAAUCAGAGCACCCAGGCGAGUGCUUCUUGAGUUUAUUCAUAUUUGGGAGGUGCAGCUGUCCUGGCUAGACCAUGACACACAUUUCCUGUGAGCAUUGCAGAAUUCCAACGCUGACAACCUGCCAUCUGGUUUCAGCACAGUCUCUUAAGGGUGUGAAUCUUUUUUUAAGCUCUGAAAACCAUUUCAACAUCAGCCUGAUUGCCCAAAUAAGGCAAAUUAUGUUUUUUUUCUUUUUCCAAAUUAUAACCUAUUGAGAAUCUACUGUGUGUGGUUCUGUGCUGCAUUCUGUGGGUAAUUAAAAUGCCCAUGUGUGGCAAUUAUGCUGCAGCGCUCGCCAUCAAGGGCUACAGCCCGUCAUGAAGCAGAUGCAUGCAACGCUCAUGCAAAGCAUCAUGAAGUCAUUUUUAGUCUGAAAAACUAAACUGUAACAUAACAACUGAAGGAAAAAAUCCAGGGCGCUGAAGCCUGACAGAAAUCUAUAGGUCAUUUAUGGGCAUCUCCUCAGGAAUUUUAACCUCUUCUCAAGAGAACUUUUGUAAGAUCUACAGAUCACAAAUUCAGCUCUGGAGUUUCUCCAGCUUUCUUCCUCUUGGUCUUUAUGUAACCACAAAAUGAAUAAUGUGCUGAUUUAAAUUCCGAUAAAUGAAAAAGGAAGAAUACAUAUGAGUGUUUACAUCACAAAUUGAAAAUCACUCUUUGAAUUCUAGUUGACUCUUCUAAAAACUAUUUUCAUGGAGGCUACUAUUUAAUAGUUUAAUGAUUGCAAAAGAUUUCUUGAAAAAUAAAGAUGUUAUUUGAAGUGUUUUCCACAAAGGUAAAUAUAUUUUUCAUGAUUUUUCUUGAUAUUUGUUUAAAUAUAUCAACCACCUACAGUAGGAUGUAAGUGGCAUCCUUGUGCUACCUGGAUUGGUGAUUCUGAAAUCAACUUUGAUAAACAGUGACAUAAGGGGUAUUUUUAUAGUUUAUGACAGAUGGGAAAAGGAUUCACAAAGAUGAGUGGUGCUUUGGCAUAACUAACAAAAUGUGUCAAAGGUGUUUGGUUUGUUUGAAUAAAGUGAAAAUUAUUUAAAGUUAUGGUCAUAUAUACAUGGUAGAGGGAUUUGCUAAAUAAGUUCACUUCAAAAAUUCUCAUGCUGGCUGGUGGUGCAGCCAUCUGCCCCAGCCGAGAAGUGAGAACCCAGAGGUUCUGAGCAGACACAGCCUGCGAAGUGCAGUGAGGCUGGUCCACGAAAACACACCUAAGGUGGAAACUUCAUUCCAAAUAAAGACAGAAAAAAUCUCUUUCAUAAUUGAUUAUGCAACAAACUUUAAAACGACAGCCUGGGAAAGAAGCUCUUUCGUGAUGUUCACUUCUGCAGUGCUCUGUGAAGCCCUGGACACGUCCUUUGCUCUGGUAUAAAUGGACCCACCGGGGACAGAGGGCAUGGCUGCUUCUCUGAGACAGACUACAUUUCCACACGGCCCUUUGGGCCACUUCUCCCUCCAUUUCCCUGUUUUUCUAGAGGUGACGGAUGCCGGUGUUUGUUUCAGAUGAGCC
ensembl:lincRNA